rnacentral:rRNA from 1 species
AAAUUGAAGAGUUUGAUCAUGGCUCAGAUUGAACGCUGGCGGCAGGCCUAACACAUGCAAGUCGAACGGUAACAGGAAGCAGCUUGCUGCUUCGCUGACGAGUGGCGGACGGGUGAGUAAUGUCUGGGAAACUGCCUGAUGGAGGGGGAUAACUACUGGAAACGGUGGCUAAUACCGCAUAACGUCGCAAGACCAAAGAGGGGGACCUUCGGGCCUCUUGCCAUCAGAUGUGCCCAGAUGGGAUUAGCUUGUUGGUGAGGUAACGGCUCACCAAGGCGACGAUCCCUAGCUG